rnacentral:rRNA from 1 species
AUUGAACGCUGGCGGCGUGCUUAACACAUGCAAGUCGUGCGGUAACAGGCGUAGCAAUACGUGCUGACGAGCGGCGAACGGGUGCGUAAUACAUGGGAAUCUGCCUUUUAGUGGGAAUAACCCGGCGAAAGCCGGGCUAAUGCCGCAUAAGAUCUUCGGAUGAAAGGCGGGGGAUCGUAAGACCUCGCGCUGAUAGAUGAGCCCAUGCCGGAUUAGCUAGNGGUGAGGUAACGGCUCACCAAGGCGACGAUCCGUAGCUGGUCUGAGAGGACGGCCAGCCACACUGGGACUGAGACACGGCCCAGACUCCUACGGGAGGCAGCAGGUGGGGAAUAUUGGACAAGUGGGGAAACCCUGAUCCAGCGACGCCGCGUGUGUGAAGAAGGCCUGG